GAUGAACGCUGGCGGCGUGCCUAAUACAUGCGAGUCGAGCGAACGGACGAGAAGCUUGCUUCUCUGAUGUUAGCGGCGGACGGGUGAGUAACACGUGGAUAACCUACCUAUAAGACUGGGAUAACUUCGGGAAACCGGAGCUAAUACCGGAUAAUAUUUUGAACCGCAUGGUUCAAAAGUGAAAGACGGUCUUGCUGUCACUUAUAGAUGGAUCCGCGCUGCAUUAGCUAGUUGGUAAGGUAACGGCUUACCAAGGCAACGAUGCAUAGCCGACCUGAGAGGGUGAUCGGCCACACUGGAACUGAGACACGGUCCAGACUCCUACGGGAGGCAGCAGUAGGGAAUCUUCCGCAAUGGGCGAAAGCCUGACGGAGCAACGCCGCGUGAGUGAUGAAGGUCUUCGGAUCGUAAAACUCUGUUAUUAGGGAAGAACAUAUGCGUAAGUAACUGUGCACAUCUUGACGGUACCUAAUCAGAAAGCCACGGCUAACUACGUG
rnacentral:rRNA from 1 species